GACGAACGCUGGCGGCGUGCUUAACACAUGCAAGUCGAACGGAAAGGCCUGCUUUCUCUUGUGGAUUGCGGGUACUCGAGGGGCGAACGGUGGAGUAACACGCGAGUUAUCUGCCCGCAACUUGGGUAUAAGCGGGGGAUACUGUGUCUAAUUGUCGAGAGGACAGCAGGUUGGUGGCUGGGGUGGAAGACGAUUUUCUAUUGGCUGGGGGUUAGCUCGCGGGCUAUCAGCGUGUUGGUGGGGUAAUGGCCUACCAAGGCGGCGACGGGUAGCCGGCCUGAGAGGGUGGACGGCGACAUUGGAACUGAGAUACGGCCCAGGCUCCUACGGGCGGCGGCAGUGGGGAAUAUGGCACCAUGGGCGGAAGCCUGAUGCCGCGACGCGGCGUGGGGGAUGACGGCCUUCGGGUUGUAAACUCCUUUCGACCGAGAGGGAGCCACCUGGUUGGGAAGGUGGUGACGGUAGUGGUAGAAGAAGCACCGGCUAACUCCGUG
rnacentral:rRNA from 1 species